rnacentral:rRNA from 1 species
GAGUUUGAUCCUGGCUCAGGAUGAACGCUAGCGGCGGGCUUAACACAUGCAAGUCGAGGGGCAGCACGGGUAGCAAUACCUGGUGGCGACCGGCAAACGGGUGCGGAACACGUACACAAUCUACCUUUAUCUGGGGGAUAGCCCGAAGAAAUUCGGAUUAACACCCCAUAAUAUAUUGAUCUGGCAUCAGGAUGAUAUUAAAACUCCGGUGGAUAGAGAUGAGUGUGCGUCCCAUUAGCUAGUUGGCAGGGUAACGGCCUACCAAGGCGACGAUGGGUAGCUGGUGUGAGAGCACGACCAGCCACACGGGCACUGAGACACGGGCCCGACUCCUACGGGAGGCAGCAGUGAGGAAUAUUGGUCAAUGGACGCAAGUCUGAACCAGCCAUGCCGCGUGAAGGAUGAAGGCCUUCUGGGUUGUAAACUUCUUUUAUUGGGGAAGAAAAUUACGGUUUCUACUGUAACCGACGGUACCCAAGGAAUCAGCACCGGCUAACUCCGUGCCAGCAGCCGCGGUAAC